UACGGGGGGGGCAAGCGUUGUUCGGAAUUACUGGGCGUAAAGGGCUCGUAGGCGGCCAACUAAGUCAUACGUGAAAUCCCUCGGCUUAACCGGGGAACUGCGUCUGAUACUGGAUGGCUUGAGAUUGGGAGAGGGAUGCGGAAUUCCAGGUGUAGCGGUGAAAUGCGUAGAUAUAGGAAGGAAUACCAGUGGCGAAGGCGGCCUCCUGGAUCGAUACUGACGCUGAGGCGCGAAAGCGUGGGGAGCAAACAGG
rnacentral:rRNA from 1 species